AACGAACGCUGGCGGCAGGCCUCAAACAUGCAAGUCUAGGGGGUGUAGCAAUACAUCACCGGCGGACGGGUGCGUAACGCGUGGGAAUAUACCUAUCGAUUCGGAACAGCUGAGGGAAACUUCAGCUAAUACCGAAUACGUCCUAACGGAGAAAGAUUUAUCGUCGAUAGAUUAGCCCGCGUUCGAUUAGCUAGUUGGUGGGGUAACGGCCCACCAAGGCGACGAUCGAUAGCUGUUCUGAGAGGAAGAUCAGCCACACUGGGACUGAGACACGGCCCAGACUCCUACGGGAGGCAGCAGUUGGGAAUCUUGGACAAUGGGGGAAACCCUGAUCCAGCCAUGCCGCGUGAGUGAUGAAGGCCUUCGGGUUGUAAGGACUCUUUGUCCAGGGAAGAUGAUGACUGUACCUGGAGAAUAAG
rnacentral:rRNA from 1 species